GAUGAACGCUGGACGGCGUGCUUAACACAUGCAAGUCGAACGAGUGGAUGGUCUUCGGACCUGAAGCUAGUGGCGGACGGGUGAGUAACACGUGAGGAACCUGCCUUUCAGAGUGGGAUACCGUUUGGAAACGAACGUUAAUACCGCAUAACGUAUAUUUGUCGCAUGGCAGAUAUACCAAAGAUUUAUCGCUGAGAGAUGGCCUCGCGUCUGAUUAGAUAGUUGGUGAGGUAACGGCCCACCAAGUCUACGAUCAGUAGCCGGACUGAGAGGUUGAUCGGCCACAUUGGGACUGAGACACGGCCCAG
rnacentral:rRNA from 1 species